GGCUCAGUGGUCUAGUAGUAUGAUUCCUGCUUCGGGCUUUUACCCGCACGAAUAACACGUGCUUUCAUUGCAGGAGGUCCCGGGUUCAAUUCCCGGCUGAGCCC